rnacentral:rRNA from 1 species
AUGGCGAUCUCGGACACCAGCGGCGGGGCUCGCCACGUGAGGUGCCCCAGGUGCCGCAGCGUCCUCCAGGAGCCCGCCGGCGUCCCCGUGUACCAAUGCGGCGGGUGCGGCGCCAGCCUCCGAGCGAAACUCCCCGGCGGCGACACGCGCGGCGCGUCCGUCAGCGCUGCUCCGUCCACGGAGAGCGUCCUGCCGUCUCCUCGCCGGAGCCAGGCUCAGAGCGGCCAGUUGGGCGGCUCCGGGGAUGUCGCGAGCACCAGUGGCACGACUCCUGACGCUCCGAGCACCAGUGGCACGACUCCUGACGCCCCGAGCACCAGCUACCGAGGCGCCGGCACGACGAGCCGACGCGAGGCCGGUGAUCUCACGCCGCCGGUCGUUGAGAGGAAGGGGCGUGAUCACCACCGGAGUGCCGAUCAGGCGGAAGCUGCUGGCAGUUCUCAACCGCGCAUCACAAGGGGUGCGGUCAGUGCUCCCAACGCCAGUGCUGCCCCGUCUUCAGCGAGUGUCCUGCCGUCUCCUCGCCGGAGCCAGACUCAGAGCAGCCACUUUGGCUCCGGGGAUGUCGCGAGCACCAGCGCCCCCGCCCCGACUCCUGAUGUUCGAACCACCAGCCCCCGGGACGCCGGCACGACAAGCCGACGCGAGACCGGCAGGGCCGUGGGCACGAGCGGCGAUCAAACGCCAGCGAGGAAGCAUCACUCCUCGGCGCAAUCGCCGCCGAUCGUCGAGAAGAAGGGGCAUGAUCACCAUCACCGGAGUGCCGAUCAGGAGGAAGCUGGUGGCAGCUCCGAACAUCGCAGGGGGAGGGGCGCGGUCAGUGCUCCCGCCGCCGGUGCAAACUUCGCCGAGAUGCGAGGUUCAGAGAGGGCACGUGAUGCCGAGCCUGAAACUGAUGCCGCGAGGAAGAAAAGUCCAAGGCCAAGCAGAGCGGAAGCUGCGCCAAUGCCUGAUCGCGCCGCGGAUUCCCGGUCUGCGCCGGCAGCGGCGAGCUGGAAACAGCGAGACGAUGCCGCGGCGGCGCCGGUGCCGGCUGUGACGGAGGAAAAGGCACCGAGCCCUCCUCGGCACGCGCCGCAGAAGAUGAGUCCCCUCCACGAGAAGAUCCUGAAGACGGUGGACGAGCUCAAAGGCGACCUCUCCGAGCUCUUCAGCCAGCCUCCGGAGGCCAAGCCAAGGACACCAUCGCGUCCGCCUCGUCGUCCCAGGCAAGAAGGCCACGCCCCUCACCCGGCCGUCCCUACCAGCAGAGCUCGCCAUGCCACCACCGCGGCCGCUCUGCACCACCGCGGCAACGCGGGCAAGCACGGACAGGCUACCCUCCGCGGUCUGCCGUCGCGGCGGUAUCGCCGGUGCAGGGCUGACCCGUGCGGCGGCCACGACGCGCGCCCGGCAGGAGCAUGCCGGCACAGCUGCUGCGACCACGUCAAGCCUGAGUGCGGCAGCUGCAGGGGGCACUGCUGCCGCCCGUCGAGAGCGCAGGAACCCGCGCGGCCGGCCGCAGCGGAGGCCAAGAAGCGCGCGCCGCCGCCGAGGCACCACUGCCGGCCGGUCCUGAAGGGCGCGCCGUUCAUCGUCUGCUCCAGCUGCUUCACGCUCGUCCAGGUGCCCGCGGGGUUCGCCGUGGCGAGCGCCAAGGUGCGCGACCUGCGGUGCGGCGCCUGCUCGGCCGUGCUCUCCUACUCCUACCGCGACCCGGACAGGAAGAAGCCCGCCGACGAGUGCAGCACGGCCGGCUCCUCCCCCGCGCGCCACGUCGGUGCGCGGCCGGACCUGUUCUCGUUCAUCGAGGACUUCGCGGCGGAGUACGGGGCGAGCAGCUACUCCACCACGGAGGACGAGCAGCCGCUGCACGUGUCGAGGAACUCGUCCUUCGACACCGUCGUCGCGGCGGGGGAGGAGGCGGCGGCGGCGCGGCGGCACAGCCACAGCCUGCACCGUCUCAUGGGGUACGGCUCGGCGAGCGAGCUGCUGCUGCGGCGCUCCCCGAGCCUGUACGAGUACGGGAGCCCCGGCAAGAGGUCGACGCCGCCGUCGGACGCCAGCAGGCGGCACGACGACAGGAAGGGGAAGGGCAUCUGCGUGGAGGACUUCACCGGCGACGAGGACUCGGACGACAGUUGCACGCUGAGGCGGUCGAACGGGAGAAGAUCUGGCUGGACGCCCGGCCACGGGGUUCCGGCGGCGGGAGCCAUCAGGAUCAGGUAG